UUAGUACGGCGAGUGAAGCGGUAAAAGCUCAAAUUUGAAAUCUGGUACUUUCAGUGCCCGAGUUGUAAUUUGUAGAAUUUGUCUUUGAUUAGGUCCUUGUCUAUGUUCCUUGGAACAGGACGUCAUAGAGGGUGAGAAUCCCGUUUGGCGAGGAUACCUUUUCUCUGUAAGACUUUUUCGAAGAGUCGAGUUGUUUGGGAAUGCAGCUCAAAGUGGGUGGUAAAUUCCAUCUAAAGCUAAAUAUUGGCGAGAGACCGAUAGCGAACAAGUACAGUGAUGGAAAGAUGAAAAGAACUUUGAAAAGAGAGUGAAAAAGUACGUGAAAUUGUUGAAAGGGAAGGGCAUUUGAUCAGACAUGGUGUUUUUUGCAUGCACUCGCCUCUCGUGGGCUUGGGCCUCUCAAAAAUUUCACUGGGCCAACAUCAAUUCUGGCAGUAGGAUAAAUCAUUAAGAAUGUAGCUACCUCGGUAGUGUUAUAGCUUAUUGGAAUACUGCUAGCUGGGAUUGAGGACUGCGCUUCGGCAAGGAUGUUGGCAUAAUGGUUAAAUGCCGCCCGUCUUGAACCACGGACCCA
rnacentral:rRNA from 1 species